rnacentral:rRNA from 1 species
UACGUAGGGUGCGAGCGUUGUCCGGAAUUAUUGGGCGUAAAGGGCUCGUAGGCGGUCCAUCGCGUCGAGAGUGAAAAGCUGGGGCUUAACCCCAGUCCUGCUUUCGAUACGGGUGGACUAGAGGUAGGCAGGGGAGAAUGGAAUUCCUGGUGUAGCGGUGAAAUGCGCAGAUAUCAGGAAGAACACCGGUGGCGAAAGCGCUCUGCUAGGCCGCAACUGACACUGAGGGACGAAAGCUAGGGGAGCGAAUGGG